rnacentral:antisense_RNA from 1 species
CCAAGAACUUGCCAUGUGAUCCAUCACUACUAGACUCCCACACCUGCAUUAGAUUUGUUGUUCAGGAUUUUCAUAUAAUUUUCAUAACUGGCUAAGCAUUGGAAAUGGAUGGGGAGAAGGCCUGAUGAAAAUUACUGAGGAAGCCUCUUAGCCUAUGUGCUCUGAGAGUAGUGACACCCAGUAGUCCUUAGAUGAGGGUCUCAUCCUUUUGCCCAGGCUGGUGUACAGUGGUGUGAAUGUAGCUCACUGCAGCCUUCAACUCCUGAUCCUCCAACCCCAGCCUCCAGAGUUGCUGGGAUUACAAGUUCAAGUUGGUGUGUAUCUGCAAAGGCGAUAGAAAGGAGUUCUUACAUGUGCAUAUUCUGAAGAAGGAUGUUACCCUUACUGAAAAACUUAUUCCAAGAUAUGUUUAAUCAAUCAUGAGAAAAAUAGAGACAUCCUUAUGAAUGG